AAAAAAAAAAAAGCUUUUGUAAUUAUUUUUAAGAUUCUAUUUUGGACUGAUGCAAACAUCUUGGUAGAUAAAAAUCCUAGAAUGCCCUAGGGGGUAUCCAGUUUAGUAUGUCUGCAUGUACAAGAAAAGACUAUGGCUGGUGGUAGAGGAAAAAAAUGAAAUUAAAUUUAAAAAGUGGUAUUCCUUCCUCAAAGGCUGAGGAUUUCAUAGGUGUGAGGCUGAGCAGGAUGCCACGCACAGGAGCUGUGCUAGGCUGGAAGGAGAGGGGUAGCAUUCUGGCAGGGCAGCUGAUGCCCUUAACUCCCACAUCCCUGAAGCUAAGACAAUUCACACAGAGAAAACGUACCCAGUCUGGUGCACAAAGAGGGAAAGAAAAAAGGGCUGAGAAAAGUCAUGGGACAAAAGGUACGUGCUGAGAGACCUGAGAGAUGAGGCAGAAGGAACGAGCCUUCAAGAAAGGCACAUGAGCUCCCUGGUGCUCUUGUGCUACCUGUCCUGAUCUGAUUUGUCAAAACUUGAAGAUCUUUAAUGCCUUUUCACGUUAAUAAAAACACCUCAGUGCCUGGUGUAAGGUGAGGCCUAAAGCAGUCAUUCAUUGCAGCCAGAGAAAAAACAAGGUGUGGAGAGCCAUGUUAUAGCCAUAACUAUCGUAACAGCCUAGGUGCGCAACCCUAAUUACAAAUGCAGGAAUGGAGCCAAAGUACAGAGACUGAAAAGAUACAAAGACUACCAGCUAGAUGUACUCCUCCCCUUCUUGGCUCCCACCCCCCAAAACAUGAAGUAAUUUUACUGCAAAUAUGGAUUAUUUUAUAUUUAGUCAUGUGAUAGACCAGCUAGUGUAAAGUCAUAUUUUUUGGUGCAGCUGUCUCUGGACUCCUCUCUCCCCCCUCAGUUUUCCCUAUCAUUGCUGAAUUAAGAACACUGAAGGAAGAUAACAAGCAGCAGCACAGCUCAGAAGUGACAGUUUUGGUCCCAGGCUCUUGCUAAAGGGACAGCAUGAAAUUAAAAAUCUAACAUGGAGAGCGAGAAACAUGUCAUCAGCUCAAACUGAUUUACCCUCCAACUCUUUCAAAAGCAGCUUAGGUUUCUGUUGUUGUUUUACAUCUGUUUUCUCCCCUACUGGAAACAUCAAGAAGUCCAAGGGACUCUAUUCACCCAUUAUUUUCAGAUAUUCCCUGAAACCUCAGGAAAAAAGAAGUGGAACCCUGCUUCUGCUGUGGCUCUCCCUGUCCCAGUCUUGCACAAGCACCUCUGUCUCCAACCCUAAGCUGUCUGCAUCCGAGCAUAAGGAGGAAAGCAUGAGGAUUAGCUCCCCCUGCAAAGAAUGACACCAGCUCUUACGCUGUUAUAAAGAGAUGUGAAAAUAAUUCACGAAAUCCAAAACUAAAGAGAAGCAGUAUGGUUUUCAGGUUAGCAUCCAUUUAAAAAAAAUACUCCAAAAUAUACGUAAAGCAGAAAUGAAGUAAGGUUUCAUUCUCAAAAAUAGCAUUUUUGGAUGGAUCUGGUUCUUAAUUCAAUUCUUAUAUCAGCAUAUUCUCAACCACACAACUUUUUAAAAGGUGGUGAGACUGGUGUUGAAAUACUGUACAUUUGGUAUUCAUUAUUUUCAAAGUCUAGUACAAAUAAUGAUGUUUGUGUUACAAGCAUAAUAUUCACAUCCUGCCAACAUUUAGUUGUUGCAUCCUUGCUACUGCCCUGUCAGAUGUGUAAGCAGGCUCGGUACCCAAAGGUUUCAUUGGACCUCAAUGAUGCAGGCUCACUGCUCAUCCUGUUUUAGGAUAAAAGAGAUAUCUGAUAGAGGGUAGAGAGCCAAAACUCAAACUGUCUUCUAAAAGACAUCAGUCUUCAUCAACUUAUUAUUUUAUUCAACAUUAUUAAUUUAUUAAACAUUCAUCUAAUUGAAUCCCCAGCCUCUAUUAUGAAGCUUUAAGCAAAACUCUGUUAAAUAUUAUAAAGCCCAUAGCAUGGAAACCCCUACUCUGUAGUAUUUCAAACGAAAUUUACUUAACAAAAAUUAAAAACAAACAGCCAAAACUAACAAAAAAAAGGCAAAUUUCAUCUCAGAUGAACAAAUGACAUUUCAAUGCUAUAUGUAAAAAGAUAAAUAUCACCAUGUUAUAUGUACCACCAUACAUUAUCCAUCACCACACACAGUAACACUACUUACACCUACAACCAACCACCUGAUAAGCCUUUAAUUGUUGAUUCUUUCCUGGUGCACUAAAAAUACCACAUCUCAAAAGUGGCUGUCUUCCUUCACAUGUCCUUUGCUAACUUCCCAUAGCUGCAAGCUAUAAAAAAUAGAGGAGAAAAAGCAGGCUGUACAUACGCUAAUCACUUCUGUCACCGUUUUUACUAAGAGAUUGCUCAUUAAAAAAAAAAAAAAAAAAAAAAACAGAUUUAUCGUGGUAAGUAAACUAUGUCAACGUUUCUCUACGAUCCAAACCAUCUCUUCAGAGUUGAAGAACCUUCUUCCUCAUUAUCUGAUGUGAUGCUACCGAAACAAUACUUUCAGUAUGUGUUUCUAUGCUACUGUUCACACCUAUAAAGUUGCAGAUCUGCCUAUCAUUUGUUAAAAUGCUGAUGCUUUAAGCCAUUAUUUGAACAAACUUUAAGCAGGACUGCUGCAAAUCUUACACAUCAGUUAAAUGUUGCUCCAAGUGAAAAAUAAGAACUAGGAAGAUUUUAGAUCUCUUUUGACAUUUUUAUCAUUUGCAUUUUUGGACAAAUAAGUAUUACAUGCUAAUCAAAUGGAGACAAUUCUCAGAAAUGCUGGAAGAGUUAAAGGAGUUUUAUUAAGAAAAAAAACAAAUUAAAACAGCUGAAGUAUGUACUGUUUUGAUGUCCUGCCCUAAAUAAUUCUAUAAGCCAAACUGCUUUCAGUAUCUCAUGCUGUACAGUUUGGGGCUAAGGGAAGGGAAAUGUUCCAGAAACAAAAUAGGAGGCUAAAAUUCAAAGAUAAAAAUAAGAAGAGAAGUAUGGAAACAUACAUCUGUAUUAUCAUGGAACAGGAAACAAAACACAACCAAAAACACAGGAACAAGAGAUAAAUUCUGAAAGAACAUAGAGAUGAAAGACACAACAUUUACUCCGUGCUGCUACAGAAUAGCAAUCAGGUUUCAGAAAAGCAUCAGAAAACUCAAAGCAAAGCUCCUCUGACACUUCAAAUGAUCAAUUCCUUUGCUUAGCCCAUGGGCUCUUCUCUUCCUCCCCCUGUACAGUGUACAGCUGAGAAAACAAGUGGGUUAUGAGUAGAACAGUUUUGUUUGUUUGUUUGUUUUUGUUUUUUUACUGUUGUUGGUUUUUGUUCUCUCUCCUGACGAGUCCAUCUUCUUCAUUUGCAAUGUACAGAUACUUCUGUUUCUUCAAAUUAAAAAAAAAAAAAAAAAAAAAGAGUUGCUAAUCUUUAAGCUCAGCAAGAAUGAAACCUUAAGAACUUUAAGGGCUAUUCCAAAAAGUUAAAAGCGAGACAUCUGUAAAGGAGAAAAUGGAGUUCUCAGUUCUUCUCAGGUAGGAUGACAGAAAAUGAGAAAGGCGUUAGGAGAUGCACACCACACCUAGUGAGACUUCCUGGGACUCUUGUUGUAAACAUCCACAGAAGUAUUGCAAGAAAAAGACCUCACAAAAUCUAAAUGGGAUCUUUUAUAGAAUGUCGUACGUAAUACUAAAAUGCUUGAACUUUUUAUGUUAAAUAAAAGGAAAAAUUAUCUUUUGAACUGCUAAGAUUAUCAUGAAUACCUCUUUUGGUAGUAACAAGGACCAGGUAUGAAGAGGUCUGCUUUAAAAACGCUUCAUAACCACCCAUUAAAUGUAACUUUGUGUUCACAUUAAUGCCAUUUUGUUACUGCCUUAGAGAGUUUCACUUGUGCUAAGGUGAGGUUUUCCAUCCUACCUGUAUACGUGUAAUAAGAUACAGUACUGUACAUUUAUAGCACACAGUUGAACCCCGGAACUGCAAUCCUGUGCACAUCAUGGCAGGUUAGAAAGAGAACGCAAUUCAUAGUCCCUGAACAUUUGAAGAAAUACAUCUAUUUUUCACUCGAAGCAAGGAAAAGACCAUCUACUUAACAAGAUACUUUUAGGAAGCUUUGAAAUACUCAAAAUACUUUUGAAAUGUAAAAACAUUGCCAAGGAGCACAAGAACAGUAACAAGGUUCUAUUACACGUGCAAAUACAGUCAGCCACGCCCAAGAUGGGGGUGAACUUUUCAAUAACGUUUUUAAGUUUUGGGUUUGUUUGUUUUGAAUUUUCUAAGUAAAUUGUAUGUUCAUCAGCAACAUCUGACAUGCUGCUGAUAUCCUGUUUUAACCUCAAGGCUGGCCCUAGCCUCCAUGACAAAGGGUCUUUUCCCUGUUAGCCUCUUUGCGGGACAAGUUCUCUUUGCCUUUUCCAGACAAGGUGAGACUUCGCAGCAAAGGCACAGCUGACACAGCCAUCCCAGCCAGGAAAGCUGGCAUUGUUUCCACUAGCACCACAUUGAGCAUUAGCAGGAAAUCCAAAAAAGACACUCCUGUCCCUGGCAAACAAAUAGCUCAGUCUUCUUCUCUAAAAAUGAAUGGUUUAUAGGAGAACUGUACUGUUGCUGUAGACACGAGUUCUAAUUUGAGCAAAUAGGAGCUAAUGAAAAAUACAAUUUAAAUUUAAAAUAAAGUUCUUGGAGAACCUAUUCUAACCAAAGCAAAGCUUUAAUUUUUGUAAUACAACUUAUUAUUUAAGUAAGUUUUUACAGAAUAAGGAUACAUGGGUGACAUUUUUAGUACAAGAUUCGGUAAAGAAAAGGAUUAGCCCCUGCUGUUCCCAUUUGCUUGAUUUCUAUGAUUAUACAGAAGCCAAAUUAUUGUUUCAAUAAACCUAAUGUUUUGUGAAGUACAGAAAAGGAAAAUUAAUAGAAACAUUUAGAGAAAGAAGGAUGAGGACUUGCUCUGUAUGAGCACCGCUGUAUUUCCUGGCCUAAACAGACUACAGUCUCCCCCAUAGCACAGUAUAUGGGAACUGCUGAGUUAUGGCCUUAACCACUGAUUGAGCACCUGGGGAAAGGACCCAGUCAGCCCUGGGAGCACAGGUGAAGGCAAUUCACCUGCAUGACAGAAGGGGUGGAGCCUGGCUCCACCUCUCUUAGACCUCAUUUAAGGGCUGACUGCCACUGUAGAAGGAUCUCUUUCUGGAGAUCCCUUCUCUGUGGAGUUUCCCCUGCAAACCUAGAUCUUUAGAAAUAGUAAGCCACAAAGGACAACUCCACACCACUAUGAAGGGGAAAGAAAGCAACUGCAAUUCCAUCGAUCACCCAGUGUCAAAUGGAAGCAUGCUGCCAACAGCAUGUUCUGUGCCCUGUUUGGCUCCCUGAAAGCUGGCCCACUCCGCUGUUCAAGUGGCUACUAACAUGCAUCACAAAAAGCGGAAACCUCCCAUGCAGAGAGGAUCACCCCAUUGCCUUUUGUUUUCUUCUUCUGUCUGUGGAUCACUGUUAUCAGCAUAUCAUGUUCCCAUCUUUAAUAUAGAAGAAGGAAGGAGAACAACAGAAUAAAAGAAGAAAGUAGAAGACAAUUGCCAUUAUCUGUGUUGGAUUUCAGUAUGGCUUUGUAGUCCCAAAUCUUAAAUAAGAAAGGCUGCCAGAAGCUGGGAGCCAACAGUUUGUGGAAGCUCUAAACAGGCAGUAGUUCAGUGCUGCCCCUUCUAGCUUUUCAUGACACACCAAGGGAUCUAUCAGAUCCCUAUAAUCAGGGAUUAAAUCUUCUUCGGUUAUCUAAACUGCAUAUAAUAUAUGUUCAAAGGCUUUAAUUCUUAUACUGAACUUUAAAGGAUGCUGACCUAAAGUAUUUCCAACCUACUGACAGCUUAAUAUUUCCAUCUUUGUUAACAAACUUUCCAGGUCUGCAUCCAUAUCGAUUACCAAAAGUGUGUCUAAUGAAUCACUAAUGAAGGAAGCAUGACAAAAAGAAGGAACAUUUGUAAAAUGCUAGCUCUUUGGGCCACGCUACUCAGCUCUAGGAA